GCGGGGCCCAUCCCGUAAGGCUAAAUACUCCCGAGAGACCGAUAGCGAACCAGUACUGUGAAGGAAAGGUGAAAAGAACCUCGAACAGAGGAGUGAAACAGACCCUGAAACCAUGCGCCUACAAGCGGUCGGAGCAUGUUAAAAUGUGACGGCGUGCCUUUUGCAUAAUGAACCUACGAGUUACUCUCGCUGGCAAGGUUAAGCGAUUCAGUCGCGCAGCCGAAGCGAAAGCAAGUCCGAACAAGGCGUACAGUCAGCGGGAGUAGACGCGAAACCAAGUGAUCUACCCUUGGUCAGGUUGAAGGUUGGGUAACACCAACUGGAGGACCGCACCGAUAAGCGUUGAAAAGCUUACGGAUGAACUGAGGGUAGGAGUGAAAGGCCAAUCAAACUUGGAGAUAGCUCGUACUCCCCGAAAUGCAUUUAGGUGCAGCCUCGAAGUAAAGUGAUAGAGGUAGAGCGACUGAUAAGAUGCGAGGGCUUCACCGCCUAUCAAGUCUUGACAAACUCCGAAUACUAUCACUUGAUCUUCGGGAGUGAGGGCAUGGGUGCUAAGGUCCAUGUCCGAAAGAGGAACAACUCAGACCACCAGCUAAGGUCCCGAAAUAAGGGCUAAGUUGAAUAAACGAAGUAAAACUGCAAAGACAGCUAGGAUGUUGGCUUGGAAGCAGCCAUUCAUUUAAAGAGUGCGUAACAGCUCACUAGUCGAGGAGUUUUGCAUGGAUAAUAAUCGGGCAUAAGCCCUUUACCGAAGCUGUGGAUGUCGCAAGACAUGGUAGGGGAGCAUUCCGGCGGCGACGAAGGCCGUCCUCGAGGACGACUGGAGCUUUCGGAAAAGCAAAUGUAGGUAUAAGUAACGAUAAAGGGGGCGCGAAACCCCCUCGCCAUAAGACUAAGGAUUCCUGAUCAACGCUAAUCGGAUCAGGGUAAGUCGGGCCCUAAGGCGCAGCCGAACGGCGCAGCCGAUGGAAGAAACGGUAAAGAUUCCGUUACUGGAUAUAGGAGCGAUGUGGAGACGGAGAAGUGACACACCCGCCUGCCGACGGAAGCGCAGGUUAAAGGAAGUAGGUAAACGCCGGGCAGGCAAAUCCGCCCAGCGUGCCGAAGCUGACAGUAUCGAGAGCCCCCGGGCAAUCGAAUAGCGGUGGUAACCAGGCUCCCAAGAAAAUCCGCUAAGCAUAUUCUAUAUCCACCCGUACCCCAAACGGACACACGUAGUCGGGUAGAAUAUACCAAGGCGCUCGAAAGACUCACGGUUAAGGAACUAGGCAAAUUGACCCUGUAACCUCGGGAAAAAGGGUCCCCAGUAAGAUGGGGCGCAGAGAAUAGGUCCAGGCAACUGUUUAACAAAAACACAGGGCUGUGCAAAAUUUGAAGAUGAAGUAUACAGCCUGACACCUGCCCGGUGCCGGAAGGUUAAGAGGAGAGCUAAUCGCAAGAGAAGGCUUGAAUUGAAGCCCCGGUAAACGGCGGCCGUAACUAUAACGGUCCUAAGGUAGCGAAAUUCCUUGUCGGGU
rnacentral:rRNA from 1 species